CCUACGGGUGGCAGCAGUGAGGAAUAUUGGUCAAUGGACGAGAGUCUGAACCAGCCAAGUAGCGUGAAGGAUGACUGCCCUAUGGGUUGUAAACUUCUUUUAUACAGGAAUAAAAUGAGGCACGUGUGCCUUUUUGCAUGUACUUUAUGAAUAAGGAUCGGCUAACUCCGUGCCAGCAGCCGCGGUAAUACGGAGGAUCCGAGCUUUAUCCGGAUUUAUUGGGUUUAAAGGGAGCGUAGAUGGGUUGUUAAGUCAGUUGUGAAAGUUUGCGGCUCAACCGUAAAAUUGCAAUUGAUACUGGCAGUCUUGAGUACAGUUGAGGUAGGCGGAAUUCGUGGUGUAGCGGUGAAAUGCUUAGAUAUCACGAAGAACCCCGAUUGCGAAGGCAGCUUACUAAACUGUGACUGACAUUGAUGCUCGAAGGUGUGGGUAUCGAACAGGAUUAGAUACCCUUGUAGUC
rnacentral:rRNA from 1 species